rnacentral:rRNA from 1 species
ACACAUGCAGUCGCACGAGAAAGGGGGCACCCCGGUACAGUGGCGCACGGGUGAGUAACACGUGGAUUACCUGCCCCGGAGUGGUGGAUAACCUGCCGAAAGGUGGGCUAAUACAGCAUAAGACCACGAGGUUUCGACCUUGGGGUCAAAGCAGGCCUCUAUUCAUAAGCUUGCGCUCUGGGAUGGGUCCGCGGCCCAUCAGCUAGUUGGUAGGGUAACGGCCUACCAAGGCAACGACGGGUAGCUGGUCUGAGAGGAUGAUCAGCCACACUGGAACUGAGACACGGUCCAGACUCCUACGGGAGGCAGCAGUGGGGAACUUGCGGCCAAUGGGCGAAAGCCUGAAGCAAGAAGGCCGCGUGGGUUGGAAAGAAAGGGCUUUCCCGGGUUGGUAAAGCCCCUGGUGGGGGAAGGAACGAACCGGUUCAUGGCUAACAUCCAUGGGUCUUGACGGUACCUCUUUAGCAAGCAUCGGCUAACUCUGUGCCAGCAGCCGCGGUAAGACAGAGGAUGCAAACGUUGUUCGGAUUCAUUGGGCGUCAAAAGGGUGCGUAGGUGGCGCGCUAAGUCAGGUGUGAAAUCUCGGGGCUUAACUCCGAAACUGCAUUUGAUACUGGCGUGCUUGAGGACUGGAGAGGAGACUUGGAAUUCAUGGUGUAGCAGUGAAAUGC